AUUCAAUGUCUCCGGAUCUGAGUCACACUCCGAGCUUCCGAACCCAAGCCGAAAACCCUGAACCAAACCUCCACCGACAAGCUAAACAAGCCGCCUCCUCGACCUGACACCUUCCAGGACCAAAAACUCAAUCCACCAAGGUGAGGCUGAACCAGUCCCUGAGAGUUCCUGCCAUACCGAAUAUCAUUACUGCACAAAAAAUAAAACCUGUAAAACGAUCAGCUGUCUCAAGUUUCUGCAUGUGGGUCAAAAGAACUGAAAAAACUAUGACACUUUCCGUCAGCAGCUUAGCUUGCUCAUCUGUUAAUGUUUACUCCCAGCAACUGAACUUUGAGAAUUCAGACACGAAAGGCACCAAAGCUUAGAGAAUAAUUAAAUCUUGCUCUUUAGUUAAAAAAAAAAAAAAAAACGUCCGAGGACCUGGGGAUGCGGUUUAUCGGUUUGGUAGAAUGUAAUUAUGUCUUGUUUCAACAGAACAAACCAAAAAAAAAAAAUUUAAAUUUGGUGUUUUGGAAUUUAGAAACAAACUAUUUGUACUCAACACUAUUUAAGCAUAAAAGCCUACAUUGUUAAUAAUAAACCUGUGGUUGGUGGAACAAU